UACGUAGGCAGCAAGCGUUGUUCGGAGUUACUGGGCGUAAAGAGUGCGUAGGCGGUGCUCUAAGUUUGGUGUGAAAUCUCCCGGCUUAACUGGGAGGGUGCGCCGAAACUGGAGUGCUUGAGUAUGGGAGAGGCAAGCGGAAUUCCUGGUGUAGCGGUGAAAUGCGUAGAUAUCAGGAGGAACACCUGUGGUGUAGACAGCUUGCUGGACCAUCACUGACGGCUGAGGCACGAAAGCGUGGGUAGCAAACAGG
rnacentral:rRNA from 1 species